rnacentral:rRNA from 1 species
CCUACGGGAGGCAGCAGUGGGGAAUAUUGCACAAUGGGGGAAACCCUGAUGCAGCGACGCCGCGUGAGUGAAGAAGUAAUUCGUUAUGUAAAGCUCUAUCAGCAGGGAAGAAAAUGACGGUACCUGAGUAAGAAGCCCCGGCUAACUACGUGCCAGCAGCCGCGGUACUACGUAGGGGGCAAGCGUUAUCCGGAUUUACUGGGUGUAAAGGGAGCGUAGACGGCAGUGCAAGUCUGGAGUGAAAGGCGGGGGCUCAACCCCCGGACUGCUCUGGAAACUGUACGGCUGGAGUGCAGGAGAGGUAAGUGGAAUGCCUAGUGUAGCGGUGAAAUGCGUAGAUAUUAGGAGGAACACCAGUGGCGAAGGCGGCUUACUGGACUGUAACUGACGUUGAGGCUCGAAAGCGUGGGGAGCAAACAGGAUUAGAUACCCGUGUAGUC